UAAUGUCUUCGGUCGAUUCUCAAACUUUAAAUACGCAAGAUAGAGAUGGUUGCUUGUGAACCUCUCUUUUGAAAACGUUGGCCUCGUGGGCCACUUUUGGUAAGCAGAACUGGCGAUAUGGGAUGAACCAUAAGGUUGGUUAAGGCGUCAAAAUCUCCGCUUAAAGAUCCCACGAAAGGUGUUGGUUCAUAUAGACAGCAGGACGGUGGCCAUGGAAGUCGGAAUCCGCUAAGGAGUGUGUAACAACUCACCUGCCGAAUGAACUAGCCCUGAAAAUGGAUGACGCUUAAGCGGAGUGCCGACACCGACCCGUUUUGGCAAAAACACGGACCAAAAUGAGUAGGAAGGCGUGGCGAUUUUGUUCAGAAGGGUGCGACGCAAGUCGGCCUGAAACGGUCGCUAGUGCAGAUCUUGGUGGUAGUAGCAAAUAUUUAAGCGUGAUCCUUAAAGGACGAAGCGGGGAAGGGUUCCAUGCGAACAUUGAUUGGGCAUGGGUGAGUCGUUCCUAAGCCAUAGGGUAAUCGUAAGUCGAUUGGCGAAAGGGGAGUUGGUUAAAAUUCCAACACACGGAUGUGAAGGCGGCGACGCAAAUUGAGGUGGAGACGCUAGCGGUGACACUAGGCAGAGUUUUCUUUUCUGUUUAACCUGUGCUGCACUCUGUGGAAUCCGUUUAUCGGGAGAAACAGGUGCCUAGCGGGAAGAGCGUCGGGGGGUCCCCGGCGUCUAGUAUGUCACCGAUAGCCCUUGAAAAUCCAUCUGCAAUCUAAUUUCACGCCGUGGCGUACCGAUAACCGCAGCAGGUCCCCAAGGUGAACAGCCUCUGUCUAAUAUGAACAAUGCAGGUAAGGGAAGUCGGCAAAAUAGACCCGUAACUUUGGGAAAAGGGUUGGCUCUAGUGGGGUGGAGGAACAACUGGCUCGUGUUGAUUUGUUCGAGUGUGUCUGUUCGAGGUAAA
rnacentral:rRNA from 1 species